GCUGUGGUGCCGCCGCCGGGAAGGGCGGGGCGCGUGCGGCUGCGUGGAGUGUGAGCGAGAGGGCGGGAAGCCGUGGGGGCAGAAGAGCGAUGUAGUGAGGGGGUCGCCACGCCCCCGUCGGCUCCGUAGAGCGCCGGGCGUCGGCGGUGCUUCCGGCGGAGGUCCCGGCGAGGAGCGGAGAGCGCGGGUUCGGCGUGCUUGGUUCCUGACAUCCGAAACGUGCCUCCGGUCUCUGUGCUCUGUUACGGAAGCUGCGUUUCGCAAAUGGAAACGAACGCAGUUCUCUGAGUUGCGCGUUCGGUUUCCGAGCUCCUCUCGGCGUCGCGUUGAAGCACUCGUUUGCGCUGAGCGCGUAUCUCCAGUGAAGCAACAAAAUGCCGAUUGGCACAGGAGACAGCUUGCUUAGCCCGCUUUUUCCCCGAGAAUUUGCUUACGUCGGGAGGACGGCUCGCUGCGGUUCGUGCAACGAGGCGAGGUUCCAUAGGACUGCUGAGGACUUGUGGCUCUAAUUGUGUCACUGAGGAUCCAAAGCAGAAAUGUUGUGUUCUUACGUAGAGAAAACAAGAUAGGAAUGUCUGCUACGCAACCAAGUGAUGCGGCACUUUGCAGCGUGGCAAAUACACAGAUGUAUUGCUUGAAGGAGAGAUGCCAGUGAUUUACCUCCAUCCGUUUUGCAUACAGAAAUAGAAAGUUAGCAGUGGCUGCCAUACAUACCAAGUAGAGGAUGACAUUUUAUUCAUUACCUUCUACACUUCCUUUUAUGCAGAGACAAGCAGGACAGUAACUGAGUAAUCGCGCUGCAGAGUAGACUUUAAAUGUUAGCAGUCGUUGUGCAAUGUGCCCUCUGGCCAGCAUGUGGGGAUAUGUCCACGUGCUUGAAGAUAACAGUAAUAUUCCCUGUGCAAUUUUUACAUAGGAAAGUAUUUUUAUUUAACUGGCCUUACAAAUCAGAAACAUGUGAAGCAUGAAACAGCGUAGAAUGUUAUCCAACAAAUCUCACCUCCUUUGUGUAACAGACAUAGCUAUUUUAUUUAAAAGAAUUACUUUAGUUUUAUAUUGCUGCAAAAUAAGUAAAUAAAGUGUGCCUUGAA